AAUUAGUAGUCCAAUAUUAAAAAAUAAUUUUGGCUGCGCGUGCGACUGCCGGCGCGUCUUUCACUGGAGUGGUGGCGCACGAGUGGUGGCUUGCAAAACCCCAAGGGUCAAGUUCAUAGUCGCCGAUUCAAGGACACGAGCCAAACUAUGACAAAACUUGGUUAACUGCAAAAUGAAGAAUAGACACAAAUAAAGCUAAACGAUUGAUGGAUAUGAUCGAGUAACAAUUUCGAGAGAUGGCAAAAUUGAUUUAUGGAUAUGCGAUACACGAGAUCACAGAUUGGUGUCCAAAAGAUUGAACGAUUCAGUUGUUAAAUUGCUACAGAUAGAAGAUAGAUGCGUACACUACGCAUGGAUGAUGACAUCAAAAUCUCCUGAGACCUUUGACGUAUAAUAAAUGAAUAGAAUUUUUUAUUCGAGAUCAUGAUGUUGUCGGAGUAUUUUGACACCGCUUUCUCAAUAUUACUUCAAGGUUUUCCUCUAAUUCAACUUCUGUUUUGACCACAUUUGAGAUAAAACUGAUAAUUAUAAAAUUGUGCACGGAAAAUAGGUAUUAGCAGGAAGUAUGGUAGACGUGAAGUGUACUUUACAGCGUCAGUAUGUAAGUAAAGUACUUACCCUAGACGACAACUUCCCAAAACGUCGAUUUACAAACACAUUUAACGUAUAUCAGUGAAAAGUUUUAAUUUUUUAAAAUUAAACAAUCUAUAAAUAGCUAAACGAUUCACAGAUAAACUAGAUACGAAACUCGCACACGCAUUUCGUAAUUAAUUUAGUGCAGACGUGGGUAACGGUCGGACCAAAAUGGUCUUUUCUUUGCGUCCAGAUUCAGUCCAAUGAAUUUAUAGUCCUGAGCAGAAGAGGGUCAAUCUUUAGGGUAUGUUUUACGUACUUUUAUAGAUUGUUUAGAAUCUUUAAUGAAAUUAUGCGAAAUCGUGUGCGAAAACGAUCAAUUUUAAAGGCUAAAAAGUACGCGUAAGACUUCUUUCUUUCUUCACAUCCUCAUCGACACUGUAAAAGACUUUAAAUGAUAAGACCGUUGCCCAAACAUAAUUUAUCACCAUCACGUUUUGUCCAGCGUGGUAGUCGGACGCACAUCGAUUCGUGCGGUCAAACAACUAAUGAUUAGGGUCAGAAUGAUAACAGUCUGUUUUGUUUACCGGACCAGUACCAAUAGACG